AGGCCUGACCGUUUGUCCUUGAGCCGUAGAUGGUCAACAAUCCGCUAGCUGUCUUGCUCUGACUGGUGCACUGAACAUGAUUUCAAUAGUCAGCCAGACCAUGAUUGAGCUUAAGGGUUGUGCUGCGGAUGCAGCCUGUGCAGUUCGGGGAGAAAGUCACUGUCUCGGGCAAUGCGGUCUGGUAUCAGGUCUGGAUGAUCCUUGCCUGACUGCGGGUUUGUGUACACCUCAAUCCGACUCUGUGUCCUGAACAGAGGCCGCAGUGGUGCAGCGCUUGUGGACGAUCCAUCAACAUCCUGAAAGGUCAACACUACACCAAGCUGGGAAAAUUGAUCCUGAUAGUCAUCCCCAGGUAGUGGAAUGAAUGUUCACUGAACUACAGAGGAAUCACACCCAAAUGACUUUCCUGCCACGACAUUAGUGUGGCCACUCGCGUAGGAAUUCCUUAGCAAACAUGCUCUUUUGCAUGGUGACUGUGGACAUUUUUGCAAAACUUACGCUUUCAACACUGGAUUUUAAAGAGAAUACUUAAUAAAAUGUCGCUAACAGGACUUAUUUAUAUGAGAGAGACUAUCUGGAUGCGCAUUAAGUGUCACUUUGUGUCGUAAGCUGUUGAAGGAGCGAUUUGCGCCUUUUUAAGUGUUAAUUUUGGGUAGCCGGCUUGUAUCGGCUUGAAAGCUGAAAAUUAUGCCUCUCAUCAUAAUAGCAUUAAUUUUUGUAAUUGCAAUGUGUAUGUUUAGAUUGUAAGUGAAGCUUUUAAUAAUAAUUUUCUUAAAAAACAUGAUUUUAUAUGCUGUCAGUGAGUUUUUUAUUGAAAAAAGUGCUUAAAAUUUAAAAAAAGUCUCCUAUUUCAUCAAGAAAAGUACACUGAUUCACAAUCAAUACAUUUAUUUGGGCCUUUUGCUGAUAUAUUGGUGAAUUUCGCAUGCAAUGAUACCAGUUUUUGCCAUGAAAGUUACGCGUAACAAUAAUUGGAGACGCAAAAUCAGCUGUCGUCACUUAGACUAAAAAUCAUGCAUUCCGACUUGACUGCGGCCAAUUUAGUCACCGCUUUAAAUGGCCAUUUUAAGGCCUUUACCCCCAUCCGAAUGCACUGAAAUUGCAUAUUCAUUGUGGAAAUAGUUGAAAUCUCAUGUGGAGAAAGUUUGAAAAAGAUAGGACAAAGUUGAGUUCCCUUAAAGGUUACAUUACACUAAAUCAUUGUGUAUCCCUCCGUGGUCCAUUCGAAAGUAGUGCCUAUUUCUAAAGAGUUCCUUUUCUCUUCUUGAAUAUAAGCCAUUUAACAAUGUGAGACAUGUCUUUUGUGGUUAUUUGUAAUAUCCUGUAUGUGUCUGGAGUACUUUGAUGCCUUGGAUUGGAAGCUAACUUAAAAGAUGAACUUUUGAGGGUGUGUUUUCUAUUGUGUGGGGCUUUUGUCGAAAUUAGGAUUCCGAAACACGUUUUUCUACGGUGGGUUCAUUCGACAGCGAUUUACUUUCUUAGAAGUUGCGAGACGGUAUGUUUUUGAUUGCAAUUAUUGGAAGAUGACAGAUCCAUCUUUAAAAUGAUACCAGGUUCGGAAAAAUUGAUACGUCGGAAAGGCAAGAAAAAUGCUGUGAAAGUUGUCAGUUUUAUAAUGGGACCCUAUGGGAAUCGGAAUUAGUGUAAUAUAACCUUUAAAAAGCACAUUUACUGCAAUGUCAAGGUCACAUGGAUUCGUCUGCAAGCGAGACAAGUAGAAAAUGAAUUUUAAUGAAUGUUUUGAUGAUUUGGGUGCUAAAAUAGAUGAGAGGUGUCAAUAUUUUGGUCCAAAUGGAUGUUUUAGGUGGUUUUGGACUGUUCCGGAUGGGUGGGGGACCUGGUAUGGACAAGUAAGGGUAACAUUUCCAACAAAUCUUAAAUGUAAAUAUUAUUAUGUCCAUAGAUUGAAGUUUCAGGUGGAGAGCAAGAUGAAAAAUAUGCAAAAUUACAUGCAUGCAACCCAUUUAUGCCAUUUUUCUCUUUGUUUGUAGGCCUGACCGUUUGUCCUUGAGCCGUAGAUGGUCAACAAUCCGCUAGCUGUCUUGCUCUGACUGGUGCACUGGACAUGAUUUCAAUAGUCAGCCAGACCAUGAUUGAGCUUAAGGGUUGUGCUGCGGAUGCAGCCUGUGCAGUUCCGGGAGAAAGUCACUGUCUCGGGCAAUGCGGUCUGGUAUCAGGUCUGGAUGAUCCUUGCCUGACUGCGGGUUUGUGUACACCUCAAUCCGACUCUGUGUCCUGAACAGAGGCCGCAGUGGUGCAGCGCUUGUGGACGAUCCAUCAACAUCCUGAAAGGUCAACACUACACCAAGCUGGGAAAAUUGAUCCUGAUAGUCAUCCCCAGGUAGUGGAAUGAAUGUUCACUGAACUACAGAGGAAUCACACCCAAAUGACUUUCCUGCCACGACAUUAGUGUGGCCACUCGCGUAGGAAUUCCUUAGCAAACAUGCUCUUUUGCAUGGUGACUGUGGACAUUUUUGCAAAACUUACGCUUUCAACACUGGAUUUUAAAGAGAAUACUUAAUAAAAUGUCGCUAACAGGACUUAUUUAUAUGAGAGAGACUAUCUGGAUGCGCAUUAAGUGUCACUUUGUGUCGUAAGCUGUUGAAGGAGCGAUUUGCGCCUUUUUAAGUGUUAAUUUUGGGUAGCCGGCUUGUAUCGGCUUGAAAGCUGAAAAUUAUGCCUCUCAUCAUAAUAGCAUUAAUUUUUGUAAUUGCAAUGUGUAUGUUUAGAUUGUAAGUGAAGCUUUUAAUAAUAAUUUUCUUAAAAAACAUGAUUUUAUAUGCUGUCAGUGAGUUUUUUAUUGAAAAAAGUGCUUAAAAUUUAAAAAAAGUCUCCUAUUUCAUCAAGAAAAGUACACUGAUUCACAAUCAAUACAUUUAUUUGGGCCUUUUGCUGAUAUAUUGGUGAAUUUCGCAUGCAAUGAUACCAGUUUUUGCCAUGAAAGUUACGCGUAACAAUAAUUGGAGACGCAAAAUCAGCUGUCGUCACUUAGACUAAAAAUCAUGCAUUCCGACUUGACUGCGGCCAAUUUAGUCACCGCUUUAAAUGGCCAUUUUAAGGCCUUUACCCCCAUCCGAAUGCACUGAAAUUGCAUAUUCAUUGUGGAAAUAGUUGAAAUCUCAUGUGGAGAAAGUUUGAAAAAGAUAGGACAAAGUUGAGUUCCCUUAAAGGUUACAUUACACUAAAUCAUUGUGUAUCCCUCCGUGGUCCAUUCGAAAGUAGUGCCUAUUUCUAAAGAGUUCCUUUUCUCUUCUUGAAUAUAAGCCAUUUAACAAUGUGAGACAUGUCUUUUGUGGUUAUUUGUAAUAUCCUGUAUGUGUCUGGAGUACUUUGAUGCCUUGGAUUGGAAGCUAACUUAAAAGAUGAACUUUUGAGGGUGUGUUUUCUAUUGUGUGGGGCUUUUGUCGAAAUUAGGAUUCCGAAACACGUUUUUCUACGGUGGGUUCAUUCGACAGCGAUUUACUUUCUUAGAAGUUGCGAGACGGUAUGUUUUUGAUUGCAAUUAUUGGAAGAUGACAGAUCCAUCUUUAAAAUGAUACCAGGUUCGGAAAAAUUGAUACGUCGGAAAGGCAAGAAAAAUGCUGUGAAAGUUGUCAGUUUUAUAAUGGGACCCUAUGGGAAUCGGAAUUAGUGUAAUAUAACCUUUAAAAAGCACAUUUACUGCAAUGUCAAGGUCACAUGGAUUCGUCUGCAAGCGAGACAAGUAGAAAAUGAAUUUUAAUGAAUGUUUUGAUGAUUUGGGUGCUAAAAUAGAUGAGAGGUGUCAAUAUUUUGGUCCAAAUGGAUGUUUUAGGUGGUUUUGGACUGUUCCGGAUGGGUGGGGGACCUGGUAUGGACAAGUAAGGGUAACAUUUCCAACAAAUCUUAAAUGUAAAUAUUAUUAUGUCCAUAGAUUGAAGUUUCAGGUGGAGAGCAAGAUGAAAAAUAUGCAAAAUUACAUGCAUGCAACCCAUUUAUGCCAUUUUUCUCUUUGUUUGUAGGCCUGACCGUUUGUCCUUGAGCCGUAGAUGGUCAACAAUCCGCUAGCUGUCUUGCUCUGACUGGUGCACUGGACAUGAUUUCAAUAGUCAGCCAGACCAUGAUUGAGCUUAAGGAUUGUGCUGCGGAUGCAGCCUGUGCAGUUCCGGGAGAAAGUCACUGUCUCGGGCAAUGCGGUCUGGUAUCAGGUCUGGAUGAUCCUUGCCUGACUGCGGGUUUGUGUACACCUCAAUCCGACUCUGUGUCCUGAACAGAGGCCGCAGUGGUGCAGCGCUUGUGGACGAUCCAUCAACAUCCUGAAAGGUCAACACUACACCAAGCUGGGAAAAUUGAUCCUGAUAGUCAUCCCCAGGUAGUGGAAUGAAUGUUCACUGAACUACAGAGGAAUCACACCCAAAUGACUUUCCUGCCACGACAUUAGUGUGGCCACUCGCGUAGGAAUUCCUUAGCAAACAUGCUCUUUUGCAUGGUGACUGUGGACAUUUUUGCAAAACUUACGCUUUCAACACUGGAUUUUAAAGAGAAUACUUAAUAAAAUGUCGCUAACAGGACUUAUUUAUAUGAGAGAGACUAUCUGGAUGCGCAUUAAGUGUCACUUUGUGUCGUAAGCUGUUGAAGGAGCGAUUUGCGCCUUUUUAAGUGUUAAUUUUGGGUAGCCGGCUUGUAUCAGCUUGAAAGCUGAAAAUUAUGCCUCUCAUCAUAAUAGCAUUAAUUUUUGUAAUUGCAAUGUGUAUGUUUAGAUUGUAAGUGAAGCUUUUAAUAAUAAUUUUCUUAAAAAACAUGAUUUUAUAUGCUGUCAGUGAGUUUUUUAUUGAAAAAAGUGCUUAAAAUUUAAAAAAAGUCUCCUAUUUCAUCAAGAAAAGUACACUGAUUCACAAUCAAUACAUUUAUUUGGGCCUUUUGCUGAUAUAUUGGUGAAUUUCGCAUGCAAUGAUACCAGUUUUUGCCAUGAAAGUUACGCGUAACAAUAAUUGGAGACGCAAAAUCAGCUGUCGUCACUUAGACUAAAAAUCAUGCAUUCCGACUUGACUGCGGCCAAUUUAGUCACCGCUUUAAAUGGCCAUUUUAAGGCCUUUACCCCCAUCCGAAUGCACUGAAAUUGCAUAUUCAUUGUGGAAAUAGUUGAAAUCUCAUGUGGAGAAAGUUUGAAAAAGAUAGGACAAAGUUGAGUUCCCUUAAAGGUUACAUUACACUAAAUCAUUGUGUAUCCCUCCGUGGUCCAUUCGAAAGUAGUGCCUAUUUCUAAAGAGUUCCUUUUCUCUUCUUGAAUAUAAGCCAUUUAACAAUGUGAGACAUGACUUUUGUGGUUAUUUGUAAUAUCCUGUAUGUGUCUGGAGUACUUUGAUGCCUUGGAUUGGAAGCUAACUUAAAAGAUGAACUUUUGAGGGUGUGUUUUCUAUUGUGUGGGGCUUUUGUCGAAAUUAGGAUUCCGAAACACGUUUUUCUACGGUGGGUUCAUUCGACAGCGAUUUACUUUCUUAGAAGUUGCGAGACGGUAUGUUUUUGAUUGCAAUUAUUGGAAGAUGACAGAUCCAUCUUUAAAAUGAUACCAGGUUCGGAAAAAUUGAUACGUCGGAAAGGCAAGAAAAAUGCUGUGAAAGUUGUCAGUUUUAUAAUGGGACCCUAUGGGAAUCGGAAUUAGUGUAAUAUAACCUUUAAAAAGCACAUUUACUGCAAUGUCAAGGUCACAUGGAUUCGUCUGCAAGCGAGACAAGUAGAAAAUGAAUUUUAAUGAAUGUUUUGAUGAUUUGGGUGCUAAAAUAGAUGAGAGGUGUCAAUAUUUUGGUCCAAAUGGAUGUUUUAGGUGGUUUUAGACGGUUCCGGAUGGGUGGGGGACCUGGUAUGGACAAGCCUGACCGUUUGUCCUUGAGCCGUAGAUGGUCAACAAUCCGCUAGCUGUCUUGCUCUGACUGGUGCACUGGACAUGAUUUCAAUAGUCAGCCAGACCAUGAUUGAGCUUAAGGAUUGUGCUGCGGAUGCAGCCUGUGCAGUUCCGGGAGAAAGUCACUGUCUCGGGCAAUGCGGUCUGGUAUCAGGUCUGGAUGAUCCUUGCCUGACUGCGGGUUUGUGUACACCUCAAUCCGACUCUGUGUCCUGAACAGAGGCCGCAGUGGUGCAGCGCUUGUGGACGAUCCAUCAACAUCCUGAAAGGUCAACACUACACCAAGCUGGGAAAAUUGAUCCUGAUAGUCAUCCCCAGGUAGUGGAAUGAAUGUUCACUGAACUACAGAGGAAUCACACCCAAAUGACUUUCCUGCCACGACAUUAGUGUGGCCACUCGCGUAGGAAUUCCUUAGCAAACAUGCUCUUUUGCAUGGUGACUGUGGACAUUUUUGCAAAACUUACGCUUUCAACACUGGAUUUUAAAGAGAAUACUUAAUAAAAUGUCGCUAACAGGACUUAUUUAUAUGAGAGAGACUAUCUGGAUGCGCAUUAAGUGUCACUUUGUGUCGUAAGCUGUUGAAGGAGCGAUUUGCGCCUUUUUAAGUGUUAAUUUUGGGUAGCCGGCUUGUAUCGGCUUGAAAGCUGAAAAUUAUGCCUCUCAUCAUAAUAGCAUUAAUUUUUGUAAUUGCAAUGUGUAUGUUUAGAUUGUAAGUGAAGCUUUUAAUAAUAAUUUUCUUAAAAAACAUGAUUUUAUAUGCUGUCAGUGAGUUUUUUAUUGAAAAAAGUGCUUAAAAUUUAAAAAAAGUCUCCUAUUUCAUCAAGAAAAGUACACUGAUUCACAAUCAAUACAUUUAUUUGGGCCUUUUGCUGAUAUAUUGGUGAAUUUCGCAUGCAAUGAUACCAGUUUUUGCCAUGAAAGUUACGCGUAACAAUAAUUGGAGACGCAAAAUCAGCUGUCGUCACUUAGACUAAAAAUCAUGCAUUCCGACUUGACUGCGGCCAAUUUAGUCACCGCUUUAAAUGGCCAUUUUAAGGCCUUUACCCCCAUCCGAAUGCACUGAAAUUGCAUAUUCAUUGUGGAAAUAGUUGAAAUCUCAUGUGGAGAAAGUUUGAAAAAGAUAGGACAAAGUUGAGUUCCCUUAAAGGUUACAUUACACUAAAUCAUUGUGUAUCCCUCCGUGGUCCAUUCGAAAGUAGUGCCUAUUUCUAAAGAGUUCCUUUUCUCUUCUUGAAUAUAAGCCAUUUAACAAUGUGAGACAUGUCUUUUGUGGUUAUUUGUAAUAUCCUGUAUGUGUCUGGAGUACUUUGAUGCCUUGGAUUGGAAGCUAACUUAAAAGAUGAACUUUUGAGGGUGUGUUUUCUAUUGUGUGGGGCUUUUGUCGAAAUUAGGAUUCCGAAACACGUUUUUCUACGGUGGGUUCAUUCGACAGCGAUUUACUUUCUUAGAAGUUGCGAGACGGUAUGUUUUUGAUUGCAAUUAUUGGAAGAUGACAGAUCCAUCUUUAAAAUGAUACCAGGUUCGGAAAAAUUGAUACGUCGGAAAGGCAAGAAAAAUGCUGUGAAAGUUGUCAGUUUUAUAAUGGGACCCUAUGGGAAUCGGAAUUAGUGUAAUAUAACCUUUAAAAAGCACAUUUACUGCAAUGUCAAGGUCACAUGGAUUCGUCUGCAAGCGAGACAAGUAGAAAAUGAAUUUUAAUGAAUGUUUUGAUGAUUUGGGUGCUAAAAUAGAUGAGAGGUGUCAAUAUUUUGGUCCAAAUGGAUGUUUUAGGUGGUUUUGGACUGUUCCGGAUGGGUGGGGGACCUGGUAUGGACAAGCCUGACCGUUUGUCCUUGAGCCGUAGAUGGUCAACAAUCCGCUAGCUGUCUUGCUCUGACUGGUGCACUGGACAUGAUUUCAAUAGUCAGCCAGACCAUGAUUGAGCUUAAGGGUUGUGCUGCGGAUGCAGCCUGUGCAGUUCCGGGAGAAAGUCACUGUCUCGGGCAAUGCGGUCUGGUAUCAGGUCUGGAUGAUCCUUGCCUGACUGCGGGUUUGUGUACACCUCAAUCCGACUCUGUGUCCUGAACAGAGGCCGCAGUGGUGCAGCGCUUGUGGACGAUCCAUCAACAUCCUGAAAGGUCAACACUACACCAAGCUGGGAAAAUUGAUCCUGAUAGUCAUCCCCAGGUAGUGGAAUGAAUGUUCACUGAACUACAGAGGAAUCACACCCAAAUGACUUUCCUGCCACGACAUUAGUGUGGCCACUCGCGUAGGAAUUCCUUAGCAAACAUGCUCUUUUGCAUGGUGACUGUGGACAUUUUUGCAAAACUUACGCUUUCAACACUGGAUUUUAAAGAGAAUACUUAAUAAAAUGUCGCUAACAGGACUUAUUUAUAUGAGAGAGACUAUCUGGAUGCGCAUUAAGUGUCACUUUGUGUCGUAAGCUGUUGAAGGAGCGAUUUGCGCCUUUUUAAGUGUUAAUUUUGGGUAGCCGGCUUGUAUCGGCUUGAAAGCUGAAAAUUAUGCCUCUCAUCAUAAUAGCAUUAAUUUUUGUAAUUGCAAUGUGUAUGUUUAGAUUGUAAGUGAAGCUUUUAAUAAUAAUUUUCUUAAAAAACAUGAUUUUAUAUGCUGUCAGUGAGUUUUUUAUUGAAAAAAGUGCUUAAAAUUUAAAAAAAGUCUCCUAUUUCAUCAAGAAAAGUACACUGAUUCACAAUCAAUACAUUUAUUUGGGCCUUUUGCUGAUAUAUUGGUGAAUUUCGCAUGCAAUGAUACCAGUUUUUGCCAUGAAAGUUACGCGUAACAAUAAUUGGAGACGCAAAAUCAGCUGUCGUCACUUAGACUAAAAAUCAUGCAUUCCGACUUGACUGCGGCCAAUUUAGUCACCGCUUUAAAUGGCCAUUUUAAGGCCUUUACCCCCAUCCGAAUGCACUGAAAUUGCAUAUUCAUUGUGGAAAUAGUUGAAAUCUCAUGUGGAGAAAGUUUGAAAAAGAUAGGACAAAGUUGAGUUCCCUUAAAGGUUACAUUACACUAAAUCAUUGUGUAUCCCUCCGUGGUCCAUUCGAAAGUAGUGCCUAUUUCUAAAGAGUUCCUUUUCUCUUCUUGAAUAUAAGCCAUUUAACAAUGUGAGACAUGUCUUUUGUGGUUAUUUGUAAUAUCCUGUAUGUGUCUGGAGUACUUUGAUGCCUUGGAUUGGAAGCUAACUUAAAAGAUGAACUUUUGAGGGUGUGUUUUCUAUUGUGUGGGGCUUUUGUCGAAAUUAGGAUUCCGAAACACGUUUUUCUACGGUGGGUUCAUUCGACAGCGAUUUACUUUCUUAGAAGUUGCGAGACGGUAUGUUUUUGAUUGCAAUUAUUGGAAGAUGACAGAUCCAUCUUUAAAAUGAUACCAGGUUCGGAAAAAUUGAUACGUCGGAAAGGCAAGAAAAAUGCUGUGAAAGUUGUCAGUUUUAUAAUGGGACCCUAUGGGAAUCGGAAUUAGUGUAAUAUAACCUUUAAAAAGCACAUUUACUGCAAUGUCAAGGUCACAUGGAUUCGUCUGCAAGCGAGACAAGUAGAAAAUGAAUUUUAAUGAAUGUUUUGAUGAUUUGGGUGCUAAAAUAGAUGAGAGGUGUCAAUAUUUUGGUCCAAAUGGAUGUUUUAGGUGGUUUUGGACUGUUCCGGAUGGGUGGGGGACCUGGUAUGGACAAGCCUGACCGUUUGUCCUUGAGCCGUAGAUGGUCAACAAUCCGCUAGCUGUCUUGCUCUGACUGGUGCACUGGACAUGAUUUCAAUAGUCAGCCAGACCAUGAUUGAGCUUAAGGGUUGUGCUGCGGAUGCAGCCUGUGCAGUUCCGGGAGAAAGUCACUGUCUCGGGCAAUGCGGUCUGGUAUCAGGUCUGGAUGAUCCUUGCCUGACUGCGGGUUUGUGUACACCUCAAUCCGACUCUGUGUCCUGAACAGAGGCCGCAGUGGUGCAGCGCUUGUGGACGAUCCAUCAACAUCCUGAAAGGUCAACACUACACCAAGCUGGGAAAAUUGAUCCUGAUAGUCAUCCCCAGGUAGUGGAAUGAAUGUUCACUGAACUACAGAGGAAUCACACCCAAAUGACUUUCCUGCCACGACAUUAGUGUGGCCACUCGCGUAGGAAUUCCUUAGCAAACAUGCUCUUUUGCAUGGUGACUGUGGACAUUUUUGCAAAACUUACGCUUUCAACACUGGAUUUUAAAGAGAAUACUUAAUAAAAUGUCGCUAACAGGACUUAUUUAUAUGAGAGAGACUAUCUGGAUGCGCAUUAAGUGUCACUUUGUGUCGUAAGCUGUUGAAGGAGCGAUUUGCGCCUUUUUAAGUGUUAAUUUUGGGUAGCCGGCUUGUAUCGGCUUGAAAGCUGAAAAUUAUGCCUCUCAUCAUAAUAGCAUUAAUUUUUGUAAUUGCAAUGUGUAUGUUUAGAUUGUAAGUGAAGCUUUUAAUAAUAAUUUUCUUAAAAAACAUGAUUUUAUAUGCUGUCAGUGAGUUUUUUAUUGAAAAAAGUGCUUAAAAUUAAAAAAAAGUCUCCUAUUUCAUCAAGAAAAGUACACUGAUUCACAAUCAAUACAUUUAUUUGGGCCUUUUGCUGAUAUAUUGGUGAAUUUCGCAUGCAAUGAUACCAGUUUUUGCCAUGAAAGUUACGCGUAACAAUAAUUGGAGACGCAAAAUCAGCUGUCGUCACUUAGACUAAAAAUCAUGCAUUCCGACUUGACUGCGGCCAAUUUAGUCACCGCUUUAAAUGGCCAUUUUAAGGCCUUUACCCCCAUCCGAAUGCACUGAAAUUGCAUAUUCAUUGUGGAAAUAGUUGAAAUCUCAUGUGGAGAAAGUUUGAAAAAGAUAGGACAAAGUUGAGUUCCCUUAAAGGUUACAUUACACUAAAUCAUUGUGUAUCCCUCCGUGGUCCAUUCGAAAGUAGUGCCUAUUUCUAAAGAGUUCCUUUUCUCUUCUUGAAUAUAAGCCAUUUAACAAUGUGAGACAUGUCUUUUGUGGUUAUUUGUAAUAUCCUGUAUGUGUCUGGAGUACUUUGAUGCCUUGGAUUGGAAGCUAACUUAAAAGAUGAACUUUUGAGGGUGUGUUUUCUAUUGUGUGGGGCUUUUGUCGAAAUUAGGAUUCCGAAACACGUUUUUCUACGGUGGGUUCAUUCGACAGCGAUUUACUUUCUUAGAAGUUGCGAGACGGUAUGUUUUUGAUUGCAAUUAUUGGAAGAUGACAGAUCCAUCUUUAAAAUGAUACCAGGUUCGGAAAAAUUGAUACGUCGGAAAGGCAAGAAAAAAUGCUGUGAAAGUUGUCAGUUUUAUAAUGGGACCCUAUGGGAAUCGGAAUUAGUGUAAUAUAACCUUUAAAAAGCACAUUUACUGCAAUGUCAAGGUCACAUGGAUUCGUCUGCAAGCGAGACAAGUAGAAAAUGAAUUUUAAUGAAUGUUUUGAUGAUUUGGGUGCUAAAAUAGAUGAGAGGUGUCAAUAUUUUGGUCCAAAUGGAUGUUUUAGGUGGUUUUGGACUGUUCCGGAUGGGUGGGGGACCUGGUAUGGACAAGCCUGACCGUUUGUCCUUGAGCCGUAGAUGGUCAACAAUCCGCUAGCUGUCUUGCUCUGACUGGUGCACUGGACAUGAUUUCAAUAGUCAGCCAGACCAUGAUUGAGCUUAAGGGUUGUGCUGCGGAUGCAGCCUGUGCAGUUCCGGGAGAAAGUCACUGUCUUGGGCAAUGCGGUCUGGUAUCAGGUCUGGAUGAUCCUUGCCUGACUGCGGGUUUGUGUACACCUCAAUCCGACUCUGUGUCCUGAACAGAGGCCGCAGUGGUGCAGCGCUUGUGGACGAUCCAUCAACAUCCUGAAAGGUCAACACUACACCAAGCUGGGAAAAUUGAUCCUGAUAGUCAUCCCCAGGUAGUGGAAUGAAUGUUCACUGAACUACAGAGGAAUCACACCCAAAUGACUUUCCUGCCACGACAUUAGUGUGGCCACUCGCGUAGGAAUUCCUUAGCAAACAUGCUCUUUUGCAUGGUGACUGUGGACAUUUUUGCAAAACUUACGCUUUCAACACUGGAUUUUAAAGAGAAUACUUAAUAAAAUGUCGCUAACAGGACUUAUUUAUAUGAGAGAGACUAUCUGGAUGCGCAUUAAGUGUCACUUUGUGUCGUAAGCUGUUGAAGGAGCGAUUUGCGCCUUUUUAAGUGUUAAUUUUGGGUAGCCGGCUUGUAUCGGCUUGAAAGCUGCAAAUUAUGCCUCUCAUCAUAAUAGCAUUAAUUUUUGUAAUUGCAAUGUGUAUGUUUAGAUUGUAAGUGAAGCUUUUAAUAAUAAUUUUCUUAAAAAACAUGA